rnacentral:rRNA from 1 species
UACGUAGGGGGCAAGCGUUGUCCGGAUUUAUUGGGCGUAAAGAGCUCGUAGGCGGUGUGUCGCGUCGGCCGUGAAAACCUGCAGCUUAACUGUGGGCUUGCGGUCGAUACGGGCAUCACUGGAGUUCGGCAGGGGAGACCGGAAUUCCUGGUGUAGCGGUGAAAUGCGCAGAUAUCAGGAGGAACACCGGUGGCGAAGGCGGGUCUCUGGGCAACAACUGACGCUGAGGAGCGAAAGCGUGGGGAGCGAACAGG